GCUAUAACACUCACCGCGAGAGUCCGCGGCUUCAUUCUUGAAGUCAGUGAGACCAAGAACCCACCAAUUCCGAACACAUCAUCUCAUAUAAUCCUCAGAAAUUCCCAAGAAUGAUGGUGCUAUUGUUAUCUUUACCAUACAAAAGGGGAACCUGAAGAUCACAGAGGUUUAGGGACUUGCCCAAAAUCCCACAGAGCUUGGAUUAAAAAUCAGACCACCUGUCUCUUGAGCCUGUGUUCUCAGCCAUGUCUGUAUGUAAUGAUGUUUUACUAAUUUGGACAAAUGACAGUCCCCACCCUACCAUUAUACAGCAGGGGUGGAGUUCAUGAGUUCAAUUAGUUUGUUGAUGGCAAGUAAAGAUGCUACAUUAUCUGGUUGUAUCUAGAUGUUUUAUCUCCCAGACCACUGAGCAGCCACAGUUCCCAAAGGAGUAGCAAUUGGUCUGGGAGAGAGGGUUAAGAAGAGAGAGGAAAAAUUAAUUUCUCUUUCUCCUACAUUGUUUCUCUGAGUCCCAGGACAUGAUUGGUUAAGUGCCAACAGGAGUCAUGAUGACUCACAAUGCAGCUGAGAACCCUGUUACCAUUUGCAAUGACAAGAACUAAACACUAGCCACUACCACCAGGGUUACUCCUGGUUCAGGGCUGAAUACAGUCCACUGGGCAAUGAUCAGCAAUUCUGACUUCAAGAUCCAAUCACCCAGUGAAAGCUACAAGAGAACUCAGUACAAGGUAGUAUUCCCUUUUCUCUCUCAGUCUCUACACCCAGCUUUGGUCAUGACUGUAAUUAUCACUUUUAUAAUACACAAUUCAUGUAAAUGGGGUGUUUAAUUGCAGAAAUUUGACUGAGAGUACCCAUAUGUUUCAAGCCAUAUUCCCUUCCAAGUCUCUGAUCUAGAAUAACUAUAUUGUUACCAUUAAAGUGUGACCCAUAUGGGUAUUGUCCAGAGGCAGGACAUGAAUUUUCCAGGCUGACAGAGGGAUAAUGGUGGGGACAGAGCUUUGUGUUUUUUAUAGUGCUGUUUCCCUGAGGAACUAAAAUGACUAUUAUGAGUAGAUGUGGCUUUUGUCCACACUGGCUCCCCACUCAGUCUCACAUAAGAAGGGAGGAAAUUGAGGUACAAGUGCCUGAAAGUGGGACGUUUGUGACCCAAGUCACAAACUCUGUUGUUUGAGUGGCAGGAAAGGCUUAGUCCUCCAGGUUUUCUUCUACCCCAGGUAGAACCAUGUAAAGACCCUGAGGCCAUGUUUAGUGUUCCAAACAAAUUAGUUCUGAACCCAAACUAAUUGGGUUCACAUCCUGGUACUGCCACAUACUAGCUAUGUGACCUUGUGCCAAUUCCAUGAUUUUCCUGUGCCUGUCUCCUGCCCUAGAUAAAUGGGAAUGACAGUUGCACCCACCUCAAGGUGUUAUGAGGCUAGAUGAGUUUCUGCAUGUCAAGCCCUCAGAGAAGUGCCUGGCAAGCAGACAGUGCUCAGCUGAGGAGGGCUUUCUUGGUUGUGCUGUCUUUCUGAGGCAACGUGGAGUCUACCAGUCACGGACAAAGGACUCUCUGAAGUCAGUCCCAGCACAC
rnacentral:lncRNA from 1 species